UACGAAGGGUGCAAGCGUUACUCGGAAUCACUGGGCGUAAAGCGUGCGUAGGCGGUUCGUUAAGUCUGCUGUGAAAGCCCUGGGCUCAACCUGGGAACUGCAGUGGAUACUGGCGGACUAGAGUGUGAUAGAGGAUGGUGGAAUUCCCGGUGUAGCGGUGAAAUGCGUAGAGAUGUGGAGGAAUACCAAUGGCGAAGGCAGCCUCCUGGCCCAAUACUGACGCUCAUGCACGAAAGCGUGGGGAGCAAACAGG
rnacentral:rRNA from 1 species